UCUUUGCCGGCGUAAUGAGGUUGUGAUUUGAUUAUUUUCAAAUUACAUUAAAAGGGAAGAUAGUGAUUGAAAAGUUUUUUUUUAAGUUUUUUCAUAAAUUGUAAAUAUGAAACUACUACAAGAAAAAUCAUCUUCAAAAAUCUAGCGCUGUACCCGCAACUGUAAGCUAUAAAGAUUGAUGUUAUCUACAAUACCAUUGUCCGCCGCGGCGGAUGAGAAGGUCAACAUCAAGACGCGAGCCAGGAGACCUGCCUAUUGCACAGAGUAUCAA
rnacentral:ncRNA from 1 species